AUUCUCGUCUGCCACUUCCGGGGAAAGGCAACAGUUUGGCCCGCCAUGUUCUUCUCCGAGGCGCUCCAGGCCAGCGAGCCGGGCCUUAUUGUAAGGCCUUCCUCUCUACCUUCAGAUACCAGAGAAAUGAAUGUGUUCUCUUCACAGGGAUUGGGCAAGGGAAGACAAAAACAUACUGUCUGGCAACAGAAGACUGAUCAUACAAUGAAAGGCAGUAUACUGUAAUGGCUAAGAACAAAGUUCCUGGACUCAGAACCAGCAUCAGAUCAGAUCUGCCACUUCUUG
rnacentral:lncRNA from 1 species